rnacentral:tRNA from 2 species
GGAUAUGGUUUAAUGGAUAAAACAUCACAUUGUGGUUGUGAAAAUCCGGGUUCGAUUCCCAGUAUCC